rnacentral:tRNA from 2 species
GCCUGGCUGGCUCAGUCCAUAGAGCAUGUGACUCAUAAUCUCAGGGUCAUGAGUUCAAGCCCCAUGUUGGGCA